CACGUGAGUAACCUGCCCUUGACUUUGGGAGUAACUUCAGGAAACUGGGGCUAAUACCGGAUAGGAGCUCCUGCUGCAUGGUGGGGGUUGGAAAGUUUCGGCGGUUGGGGAUGGACUCGCGGCUUAUCAGCUUGUUGGUGGGGUAGUGGCUUACCAAGGCUUUGACGGGUAGCCGGCCUGAGAGGGUGACCGGCCACAUUGGGACUGAGAUACGGCCCAG
rnacentral:rRNA from 1 species